UGGGGAAUUGUUCGCAAUGGGCGCAAGCCUGACGACGCAACGCCGCGUGGAGGAUGAAGGUCUUCGGAUUGUAAACUCCUGUUGCCCGGGACGAAUGGCUCCAACCUAACACGUUGGCGUGUGACGGUACCGGGUGAGGAAGCACCGGCUAACUCUGUGCCAGCCGCCGCGGUAAUACAGAGGGUGCGAGCGGUGUCCGGAAUCACGGGGCGUAAAGGGCGCGUAGGUGGUGGCUUAAGCGUGCGGUGAAAGCUCGGAGCUCAACUCCGAGUCGGCCGUGCGAACUGGGCUCACUGGAGCAUAGUAGAGGCAGGUGGAAUUCCGGGUGUAGCGGUGGAAUGCGUAGAGAUCCGGAAGAACACCGGUGGCGAAGGCGGCCUGCUGGGCUAUGGCUGACACUGAGGCGCGACAGCGUGGGGAGCAAAC
rnacentral:rRNA from 1 species